rnacentral:rRNA from 1 species
UGAGGAAUCUUCCACAAUGGGGGCAACCCUGAUGGAGCAACGCCGCGUGAAGGAUGAAGGUCUUAGGAUCGUAAACUUCUUUUAUGAAUGAAGAAUAUGACAGUAGUUCAUGAAUAAGCACCGGCUAACUACGUGCCAGCAGCCGCGGUCAUACGUAGGGUGCAAGCAUUAUCCGGAGUGUCUGGGCGUAACGAGUUGCGUAGGCGGUUAUAUAAGUGAAUAGUGAAACCUGGUGGCUCAACCAUACAGACUAUUAUUCAAACUGUAUAACUCGAGAAUGGUAGAGGUAACUGGAAUUUCUUGUGUAGGAGUGGAAUCCGUAGAUAUAAGAAGGAACACCAAUGGCGUAGGCAGGUUACUGGACCAUUUCUGACGCUAAGGCACGAAAGCGUGGGGAGCGAACC